AGUAGGCGAGGGAGAAGUUGAGGCGCGUUAUUACAUGGCGCGUCGUGUUCGUAUAAAUUCCGUAUACGAUCAUUACUUUAUAAUAACCCUACUGUCAUUUCUACAGUCGUUUGUACUGUCGUUUCAAGCCUUCAGGAAUAAGGAUCAAUAACGAUCAAACUAAUCGUAACUCGUCGAGAUAUUUUUCGACACUUUCUACCAUAGAUUUUUUAACGAAAAAAAUAAGGUAAAGUCAUCUUUUCUACCAUGACUAUUCCGUGAAUAAGCAGAUUUUGUGAUGCUUGCCGAGAACCGGGAAUGUAUUUACAGUAUCACUUUCGUCGAACAACACGCGACGAGAAUAGGAAUGAACCGAUGGUACGGAAGUCGAUGAAGAUCACUUUCGUUGACUUUCUUCUUUCCGAUCGAAAUUUUUCGCGGUCUGGCGAACACGCGGAUCGUUCCCUAAACGCGAAUCGAUAGAAAGUUCAGUUUCGAAAACACGAGUUAUGCGAAUUGCUAUGCGGAUGGCGUAAAGCCUGUCCGGGAGGGGGCAACUCGUAAUAGUCUCUUUUUUUUACCCGAAAUUAAAAUGCGAGGUGCAACGAGCACAAAUGCUCGGAAUGUCAAAUAUAUUUGAUACGUAUCGAACGAGAGGCCUGCGAUGGGCUAGUAGUCGGUCGGUAUAAGCGUAAUUCAAUGAAGAGAAACGUGGAGACGAAAAAUUACCAGAAUAUGAUUCAGCA